rnacentral:rRNA from 1 species
UACGAAGGGGGGCUAGCGUUGCUCGGAAUCACUGGGCGUAAAGGGUGCGUAGGCGGGUCUUUAAGUCAGGGGUGAAAUCCUGGAGCUCAACUCCAGAACUGCCUUUGAUACUGAGGAUCUUGAGUUCGGGAGAGGUGAGUGGAACUGCGAGUGUAGAGGUGAAAUUCGUAGGUAUUCGCAAGAACACCAGUGGCGAAGGCGGCUCACUGGCCCGAUACUGACGCUGAGGCACGAAAAGCGUGGGGGAGCAAACAGG